rnacentral:rRNA from 1 species
CACAUGCAAGUCGAGCGGACCUUUCGGGGUCAGCGGCGGACGGGUGAGUAACGCGUGGGAACGUGCCUUCCGGUUCGGAAUAACCCUGGGAAACUAGGGCUAAUACCGGAUACGCCCUUAUGGGGAAAGGUUUACUGCCGGAAGAUCGGCCCGCGUCUGAUUAGCUAGUUGGUGGGGUAACGGCCUACCAAGGCGACGAUCAGUAGCUGGUCUGAGAGGAUGAUCAGCCACACUGGGACUGAGACACGGCCCAGACUCCUACGGGAGGCAGCAGUGGGGAAUAUUGGACAAUGGGCGCAAGCCUGAUCCAGCCAUGCCGCGUGAGUGAUGAAGGCCUUAGGGUUGUAAAGCUCUUUUAUCCGGGACGAUAAUGACGGUACCGGAGGAAUAAGCCCCGGCUAACUUCGUGCCAGCAGCCGCGGUAAUACGAAGGGGGCUAGCGUUGCUCGGAAUCACUGGGCGUAAAGGGCGCGUAGGCGGCGUUUUAAGUCGGGGGUGAAAGCCUGUGGCUCAACCACAGAAUGGCCUUCGAUACUGGGACGCUUGAGUAUGGUAGAGGUUGGUGGAACUGCGAGUGUAGAGGUGAAAUUCGUAGAUAUUCGCAAGACACCGGUGGCGAAGGCGGCCAACUGGACCAUUACUG